rnacentral:rRNA from 1 species
UACAGAGGUCUCAAGCGUUGUUCGGAUUCAUUGGGCGUAAAGGGUGCGUAGGCGGCGCGGUAAGUCGGGUGUGAAAUCUCGGAGCUUAACUUCGAGACUGCAUUCGAUACGGGCUAGCUAGAGUGUGGUAGGGGAGAUCGGAAUUCCUGGUGUAGCGGUGAAAUGCGCAGAUAUCAGGAGGAACACCGGUGGCGAAGGCGGAUCUCUGGGCCAUUACUGACGCUGAGGAGCGAAAGCGUGGGGAGCGAACAGG